CCCCCGACAGUCUGGGCAUCCAGAGGAGUGACUCGGAACAAGUAAUAUCCCAGUGGUGCCAAGUGCUGAGAUUUUUCUGGGAUUCCUUGAAUGAUCAGACCCAACACCCGAAACUGAAUCAGGUCACGACUGAGGAGGUCUGAGUGUGGCAUCCGUUGACAAGCCUGUGGGUCCCUGGAGUCUUUGGGGGUGAUCCCGAGUAACACUGCAUUGCACUGAGAAUGGCAAAGCUGUUGACUUUCUCUGGUCCCCAGCUGGGUGGCCCUGCGGUGUGGGUACUUCCCCAAGUCUUUCAUCGUUGUCUGCCUACGAAAGUGUCAUCGCUGCAGACACAGUGACAGCGCUUGUGAAGACGAGAUGGCGGUUGGUGCACGAGGAUCCUCUGGAAAUGGAAAAGUUGGAAACUUGCGUGUCUCCAAGAUGGGACAUCUUCUCUGCUUGGAUGAUAGUCUUCAGAAGGUGUUCUUUCUCAGCUCGUCCAGUCUAGCCUCUGAGGGCUUGUCUCCACUUUCUGCCGAUGAUGACGGAGGAGAACGGACACCCCCACUAGUCAGAGGGUAUUAUCCCAUAAAGGUGCCCCUGCUUCUCCUGGACAUGUCUUUUCACUUCAACAUGUCUCCCUUUUCUUUCUUCCUGUCUCAGUGUCUAGAACCUUCCGUUGCUGUACCUUCCUCCCCAAGACUCGUAAUUCCUCUCUCCAGAAAUAGGGAUGACUCGGUCUCUUAA
rnacentral:lncRNA from 1 species